rnacentral:rRNA from 1 species
UACAGAGGGGGCAAGCGUUAUUCGGAAUUAUUGGGCGUAAAGGGCGCGUAGGCGGCCUGGCAAGUGGAAGGUGAAAUCCCUCGGCUUAACCGAGGAACUGCCCUCCAAACUGCUUGGCUUGAGUCCGGGAGAGGUGAGUGGAAUUCCCAGUGUAGCGGUGAAAUGCGUAGUUAUUGGGAGGAACACCAGUGGCGAAGGCGGCUCACUGGACCGGAACUGACGCUGAGGCGCGAAAGCGUGGGGAGCAAACGGG